rnacentral:rRNA from 1 species
AGAGUUUGAUUAUGGCUCAGGAUGAACGCUAGCGACAGGCUUAACACACGCAAGUCGAGGGGCAGCGGGGAGUAGCAAUACUCUGCCGGCGACCGGCGCACGGGUGAGUAACGCGUAUGUAACCUGCCUUAUACAGGGAGAUAGCCCAUGGAAACGUGGAUUAAUAUCCCAUAGUACUGAGAGACCGCAUGGUUUUUCAGUUAAAGCUUCGGUGGUAUAAGAUGGACAUGCGUCCUAUUAGGUAGUUGGUCGGGUAACGGCCUACCAAGCCAAUGAUAGGUAGGGGUUCUGAGAGGAAGGUCCCCCACACUGGUACUGAGACACGGACCAG